rnacentral:rRNA from 1 species
UACAGAGGUCCCAAGCGUUGUUCGGAUUCACUGGGCGUAAAGGGUGCGCAGGUGGGUUUGCAAGUUUGAUGUGAAAGCCCCGGGCUUAACCCGGGAAUGGCAUUGAAUACUGCAGAUCUGGAGGAUUGGAGGGGGGACUGGAAUUCUUGGUGUAGCAGUGAAAUGCGUAGAUAUCAAGAGGAACACCAGUGGCGAAGGCGAGUCCCUGGACAAUACCUGACACUGAGGCACGAAAGCUAGGGGAGCAAACAGG